rnacentral:rRNA from 1 species
GACGAAGGGGGCUAGCGUUGUUCGGAAUUACUGGGCGUAAAGCGCGUGUAGGCGGUUAUCCAAGUCAGGUGUGAAAGCCUUGAGCUCAACUCAAGAAAUGCACUUGGUACUGGGUGACUAGAGGACCGGAGAGGAUAGUGGAAUUCCCAGUGUAGUGGUGAAAUACGUAGAGAUUGGGAAGAACACCAGUGGCGAAGGCGGCUCACUGGACCGGUACUGACGCUGAAGCGCGAAAGCGUGGGGAGCAAACGGGG